CGGGAUAUAGCUAAGUUGGUAGAGUGCUUGCCUUGCAUGCACAAGGUCCUGGGUUCAAACCCCAAUACCCCCC
rnacentral:tRNA from 1 species